GAUAAGAACGUAGCGAAAUGCGAUAAGUAAUGUGAAUUGCAGAAUUCCGUGAAUCAUCGAAUCUUUGAACGCACAUUGCGCCCUCUGGUAUUCCGGGGGGCAUGCCUGUCCGAGCGUCAUUUGCAACCCUCAAGCCCGGCUUGUGUGAUGGGUGCCGUCCCCUACGGGACGCGCCCCGAAGGCAAUGGCGGCGUCGCGGUUAUCCGAUCACCCAAAGUGUAUGGGGCUUUGUCACUCACUUUACGGCCCGGACCGGCGCCAGUCCGAAUCAAUCUUUUUUCUAAAGUUGACCUCGGAUCAGGUAGGGAUACCCGCUGAACUUAAGCAUAUCAAUAAGCGGAGGA
rnacentral:misc_RNA from 1 species